CUGUCGAUUCCUGGGCCUGGUGGAAGUGCACCCUCAAAUUUUUAUUGAAGUUUUGAAAAUCAUGUGAAUAAGAAUCGACCGGCAUAACCUCUGGAUCUAAGUGCUUUAAACAAUACCUGUGUUGCCUCCUCCACGUCCUCGGGAAAGCUGCAGAUUCUGUGAAAUCGGAUCAAUUGUGAUUUUACAAUACCCUUAAACGUGUGCUUGGGGUUAUAGCUGCUCUUAUGCAACAGUGCAUGUCUGUCUGUAUCUUUAAAAAACUCCUUGGUUGCCAGGCCUUUUUUCCCUUUUCCUACAGGUUUAAAAAGGGUCUGUGUGUCUAAAAACUCCACUUUGUCCUUCUGUAUGGUGUGUGUGGUUUUUAUUGCCUCAUGGUGGGAAUUUAAAAUCUCAAUAAAUGACAAAAAAUCCUUUUCUGAGUGAGUCCAAAUGCCAAAUAUAUCACCCAGAAACCUAAAAUAAACCAAUGGUAACCUGGCACACUUGAGGAAGGCCGACUCCUCCCAUGCGCUCAUAUAUAGAUUUGCAUAAGCCGGGGCAAACUUUUUCCCCAUUGCUGUACCAUGAAUCUGGAGGUAAUACUUGGCAUUGAACUCAAAGUCAUUGCGUGUCAGGCCUAAUUCUAAGAUUUGUAAAACCUCCUCAUCUGGUCUAUUUCUGUCUGGAUGUUUACUAAAUGCAUUUCUAACUGCCUGCAGGCCCAGUUCUGUAUCAAUGUUUGUGUAAAGUAAAACUAUGUCGAUGGUGAACAAAAAGGCAUUGUCCGGUACAAUCAGUUUAUUAAUUUUAUUCACAGUCAUAUGUAUCCCGAAUAUAACUGCUGUGUUUCUGG